rnacentral:rRNA from 1 species
GAUGAACGCUGGCGGCGUGCUUAACACAUGCAAGUCGAACGAAGCACUUAAGAUUGAUUCUUCGGAUGACGUCUUUUGUGACUUAGUGGCGGACGGGUGAGUAACGCGUGGGUAACCUGCCUCACACAGGGGGAUAACAGUUAGAAAUGACUGCUAAUACCGCAUAACCCGAUAGGAUCGCAUGAUCCAGACGGAAAAGAUUUAUCGGUGUGAGAUGGACCCGCGUCUGAUUAGCUAGUUGGUGAGGUAACGGCCCACCAAGGCGACGAUCAGUAGCCGGGAGGAGAGGGUGAAACGUCACAAUUGAGAUGAGACACAGACUAAACUCGUACGGGAGGGAGGAGUGGGGAAUACUGCACGAGGGGGGAAGCUGUGAUGCAGCGACGCCGCGGGAGUGAAGAAGUAUGUCGGUAUGUAAAGCUCUAUCAGCAGAGAAGAAAAUGACGGUACCUGACGAAGAAGCCCCGGCUAACUACGUG